UACGGAGGGUCCGAGCGUUAAUCGGAAUUACUGGGCGUAAAGCGCGCGUAGGUGGUUCAGUCAGUCAGAUGUGAAAGCCCCGGGCUUAACCUGGGAAUUGCACCUGAUACUGCUGAGCUAGAGUACGGUAGAGGGUAGUGGAAUUUCCGGUGUAGCGGUGAAAUGCGUAGAGAUCGGAAGGAACACCAGUGGCGAAGGCG
rnacentral:rRNA from 1 species